rnacentral:rRNA from 1 species
UACAGAGGGUGCGAGCGUUGUUCGGAAUUAUUGGGCGUAAAGGGCGCGUAGGCGGUGCGGUAAGUCACCUGUGAAAUCUCCUGGCUCAACUGGGAGCUUGCAGGCGAAACUGCCGUGCUGGAGUGUGGGAGAGGUGCGUGGAAUUCCUGGUGUAGCGGUGAAAUUCGUAGAUAUUGGGAAGAACACCGGUGGCGAAGGCGGCGCUCUGGACCGAGACUGACGCUGAGGCGCGAAAGCGUGGGGAGCAAACAGG